UACGGAGGGGGCUAGCGUUGUUCGGAAUUACUGGGCGUAAAGCGCACGUAGACGGCUUUGUAAGUUAGAGGUGAAAGCCCAGGGCUUAACCCUGGAAUUGCCUUUAAGACUGCAUCGCUAGAAUCGUGGAGAGGUGAGUGGAAUUCCGAGUGUAGAGGUGAAAUUCGUAGAUAUUCGGAAGAACACCAGUGGCGAAGGCGACUCACUGGACACGGUAUUGACGCUGAGGUGCGAAAGCGUGGGGAGCAAACAGG
rnacentral:rRNA from 1 species